rnacentral:ncRNA from 1 species
GGCUCCCAGGAGCCCAAACAUAGCGGGUCGUCAAAGACCCGCACUGCUAACGGAAGACAGAAA